CCCUUAGAUGUUCUGGGCCGCACGCGUGCUACACUGACCGGCGCAACAAGUUUCUUUCCUUGGCUCGAUAGGCCUGGGUAAUCUUUGAACGCCGGUCGUGAUGGGGAUAGAUCCCUGCAAUUUUUGAUCUUCAACGAGGAAUUCCUAGUAAAUGCGAGUCAUCAUCUCGCGUUGAUUACGUCCCUGCCCUUUGUACACACCGCCCGUCGCACCUACCGAUUGAAUGGUCCGGUGAAGCCUCGGGAUUGCGAAUGCUUCGUGCGGACGCGAGAACUUGGCUAAACCUUACCAUUUAGAGGAAGGUGAAGUCGUAACA
rnacentral:rRNA from 1 species